GAGAUCAUUUCAUCUUCCCCUCGCUUAAAUGUUUACAUUAACAGAAUUUUUUUACCAGGGGUGCCCAAACUUGUGCAUGUCCCUGUACUGAUAUAUACUAUACAAAUAAUAUUUUCAGUAGUCCGUGUCAAAUUUUAUUUCAAGGUAAGAUAGCUUUACAUGUUUUUCAUUGUGCUUUAGUGAUCACACAGGCCCUGUUUAUGUUCUUAACCGGCAUGAGUUUAUUUAUUGUGAUAUACACAAAACAAGAUAUUUUCAUUAAUGAUGUUAAGUACACAGCUGCUCAUUUACUUCAAUAAAAUCUCUUUUUCCUAUUAUGGAAGUCAAUGGGUACCAUCAACUGUAGGAUUGACAUCAUUUAUCUUAUUAAAGAAUUUUUGGCAAGUUUAUAACAACAUGAAGUGUUUGGGUGAGAUCUAGACCGAGGACUAAGGCGUAUACUAGGACAGAACUAAGUGUUGUGGCCCACAGAUGAACCUCCAGGGCCGAAACAAUUGCCACUAGGAAAACUGCUAAUGCUGGAUGUCAACAGACCAUUUUUGAGUCUUUGUGAGGGAGUUAACACUGAACCAGACAAAUCUGACUGAUGAGAUACAAGACACAAUAAUGUUUUAAAGGAACUUAUAAAACCAUUUCACACGGGUUAAAGAUCCUAAGUUACAUUAAAUGCUCUGAAUCAAGAACAUAUUUGGAGAAUCUGAAGAUGAACUGAAUCUCACUCCAGCUGUGGGCUUCACAAUAAAUCCAUCACCACACAAACUGUGUGAAGUUUAAAGUUUUGAUAUCUGUGGUGGCACUGAAAAUGAAAACUGUCAUUGUCUUUAAAGAUAUCUGAAGCUAAAUAAUGUAAAUGUCAGACCGCACAUAGGGCUCUAUUUUAACGAUCUGAAACGCAAGUGCGAAGCGCAACGCGCAAGUGAGUUUGUGGGCGGAUCUUGGGCGCUGUUGCUAUUUUCCCGGCGUGAGAAAUAACUCUUGCGCCGGGCGCAAAUCAAUAAGGGGUUGGUCUGAAGUAGGUUCAUUAUUCAUAGGUGUGGUUUGGGCGUAACGUCAAAUAAACCAAUCAGAACGCUAUCCAACAUUCCCUUUAAACGCAAGGGCACAAGUUC